AUUGAACGCUGGCGGCAUGCCUUACACAUGCAAGUCGAACGGUAACGGGCCUUCGGGUGCCGACGAGUGGCGAACGGGUGAGUAAUGCAUCGGAACGUACCUUUCAGUGGGGGAUAACGUAGCGAAAGUUACGCUAAUACCGCAUAUUCUGUGCGCAGGAAAGCAGGGGAUCGCAAGACCUUGCGCUGAUUGAGCGGCCGACGUCAGAUUAGCUAGUUGGUGAGGUAAAGGCUCACCAAGGCGACGAUCUGUAGCGGGUCUGAGAGGAUGAUCCGCCACACUGGAACUGAGACACGGUCCAGACUCCUACGGGAGGCAGCAGUGGGGAAUUUUGGACAAUGGGGGCAACCCUGAUCCAGCCAUGCCGCGUGAGUGAAGAAGGCCUUCGGGUUGUAAAGCUCUUUCGGCCGGGAAGAAAUCGCAUGGGUUAAUACCCUGUGCGGAUGACGGUACCGGCAUAAGAAGCACCGGCUAACUACAUGCCAGCAGCCGCAGUAAAAC
rnacentral:rRNA from 1 species